GGCUCCAUAGUGUAGUGGUUAACAAGUCUGCUUUACAUGCAGAAGGUUUCACACCCCAGGUAGAGCCA
rnacentral:tRNA from 1 species